UGAAAUAGAUAUAGUGUACAACGUGUUAAUCUUCAGCUUGUAAGUCAGUAAUCAAUAGCGAGACUUUCUCCCAUCUUUUGAUAGUUGUAUUUUCCAAACUUGACAUGUGCUAUUUCCUUUUCCACUCGUCGAUUUCCAUAUGGUACAUAUCCAUCUCGCCGAUUCACUCGGGGAUCUUAGGAUUGCACUCAUCACAGCCGAAACAGGGGUUCCCUUGCGGUAGGAAAUCAGCCAGAGCUUUCUAUCGCUCGCGGUCAAAUCGUAAUAGAUGAUUAUGUCGCUCGCGGAAAUUGAACGAUAUGUCGCUCACAGAAGGAGCUCACUCUCGGUCGCGGACGGUGCUCGCUCGCUCGCAGUCAAAGACAUGGAGCCGCGGUCACUCAGGCGCUCGCUCGCGGUCAGACUUUCCCUCGCUCGCGGACCCUCCGGCGCUCGCUCGUGGUCAGAGUCCUUCACUUCGCUCGCUGUCAGAAAUGUUUGCUUGAUCGCUCAAGGCGAACGAACUUCACCUCGCUCACUAGGGUUUGCCUGCAAGAUUAAUCACAUGUUGUUGUAUUUCAAAAAUCUUAUUAAUUAUAUUCGAAAAAUUUCGAAUCUUUUUUUACAACAAACGGUACAUUUCUACAAGUAAAAAGACUUACAUUUGGAUGAUAUACCAAAAUCACAUAAUAUAUCACAGGUUAAAUCGUAAUAAAAAUUAUGUACACAACACAUCGAGUCUAAAACUCUGCGACGACGUUAAUAGUUAUUGUGAUCAAUUAAACUAAUAUGUUUGCGUAAAAAUACUCGAAUCUUGAGAUCUUUAUUAUGAUGUCACGCUACAAAAAAUGACAUUGUAUGACGGAUUUCCGUCACCAUAUAAUUUUCAGUUUUAGAUUUAGUGGCAGAUUUUUUUCAUGUAUUAUUUUUUUAGUGGAAAAUGAGGUGAAAUAAUAGAUGACGGAUUAUCAAUCGAAAAUCCAUCGCUGGUCACUUGUAAUGACUUAUUUCCACCAUCAAAAAUCCGUCAUACAAUGACUUAUUUUUUGUAGUGUCACAUGGAUUAAAUAGUUUGUUUUAUAUUGGGUUUUGACCUAAAUGGGCCAGGUGAUCCAAUCACCAAUUUUGGGCCAUUAUCACUCCUAUUAUGAAGCACAUAUAAUUAUUAGGUUUGCUAUAUCUUCACUCCAAUCUAAUGUAUCAUCAUCACUAUUCACUCCCCCCAUAUAAAUAGGGACGCUUAGGGUGUCAAACGAGCUGAGCUUAGCUUAUAGAGCCAGACUCGGGCUCGGCUUGUUAAGGAGUUAUCCAGGCUCGAGCUCGACGAGCCUGGUUUUGCCGAAUUCGAGCUCGACUCGUUUUAAGAAUUGUCAAGCUCGGGAUAGAAACUCGAGCCCACGAGUCUGGAAAGAGUUAAAUAAGCUUAGUGAGACAACUCUGAAUUUUUCUACUGCUUACCACCCUCAGAGUGAUGGCCAAACUGAGGUUGUUAAUAUAAGUAUCGAGAUGUAUUUAAGAUCUCUAGCCCACGAAGAUCCAAAAAAAUGGCUUUCUCUACUUCCUUGGGCAGAGUUUUGGUUCAAUACCAAUUACAACUCCUCUAUCGGGCAAACACCAUUCCAAAUAUUAUAUGGAAAGGAAGCUCCUAUUUUACCAAACUAUAUUGAAGGUAGUUCUUUUAUUGAUGCUGUGGACAGAGAAUUGAAUGAUAGGGAGUAUGCUUUGGAGACAAUGAAAAACAAUUUAAUCAAAGCCCAAAAACGGAUGAAGACAAAUGCUGAUAAACAUAGACAAGAAAUACAGUUUAAUGUGGAUGAUUGGGUAUUGGUCAAGCUAAAGCGCUACAAACAAUCAUCAGUAGCAGUUCGACUUCAUAACAAAUUAAAUAAGAAAUACUUUGGUCCCUACAAAAUCAAAGAAAAAAUCAGCAGGGUUGCUUACAGAUUAUCUCUGCCUCCGGGAAGUCGAAUCCAUAACACAUUUCAUAUAUUCUUGCUGAAGAAAUUUAUUGGCAGCCCACCUGAAAAUAAAGAUAUGACACCUUUAAUAGCGGUAAAAAAUAACCCUGUUUUGAUUCCUCUAGCUACUAUAGAUUAUAGGAUUGUCUACCGGAAGGGAGGGCGAUUUCAUCAAGCUCUGGUCCAGUGGGACGGAGAACCAGUUGAAGAUUCCUCAUGGGAAGAUGUUGCAGCUCUGCACAAGUCUUUUCCCUCAAUACACCUUGAGGACAAGGUGGUUCUCCGAGAGGGAUACUAUGAUACGAAGCGGGUAAACAUGGCUGGGAUAAUAGAAGAUCUGAAGAAGAACCACGAGCUCAGUGAAGAGGUCGUCGGAGAAGAAAAAAUUGAAGAAAAAGAAAGCGAACAGAGAAAAGGAAAAUUAAAUCAGAGCCGUCAGGUGAGGGAGAGCCGUUCCAAGAGGGCU
rnacentral:lncRNA from 1 species